rnacentral:rRNA from 1 species
UCGAGAAUAUUCGACAAUGGGGGAAACCCUGAUCGAGCGACAUCGCGUGUGGGAUUAAGAUCUUCGGAUUGUAAACCACUUUUAUGAGGGAAGAAUUUUGACGGUACCUCAGGAAUAAGGGGUGACUAAACUCGUGCCAGCAGUAGCGGUAAUACGAGUGCCCCGAGCGUUAUCCGGAAUUAUUGGGCGUAAAGGGUCUGUAGGUGGUCUGCUAAGUUCUUCGUCAAAGCCCCAGGGCUUAACCUUGGGAAGGCGGGGAAAACUGAUAGACUAGAGGAUGUUAGGGGCUGAUGGAACACUUGGUGGAGGGGUGAAAUCCGUUGAUAUCAAGUGGAACACCAAAAGCGAAGGCAAUCAGCUAGGACAGUCCUGACACUGAAAGACGAAAGCGUGGGGAGAA